GCCGCGAUAGCUCAGUCGGUAGAGCAGAGGACUGAAAAUCCUUGUGUCGGCGGUUCGAUUCCGCCUUGCGGCACCA
rnacentral:tRNA from 1 species